ACUUAAAUUGAAGAGUUUGAUCAUGGCUCAGAUUGAACGCUGGCGGCAGGCCUAACACAUGCAAGUCGAGCGGUAGCACAGAGAGCUUGCUCUCGGGUGACGAGCGGCGGACGGGUGAGUAAUGUCUGGGAAACUGCCUGAUGGAGGGGGAUAACUACUGGAAACGGUAGCUAAUACCGCAUAACGUCGCAAGACCAAAGUGGGGGACCUUCGGGCCUCAUGCCAUCAGAUGUGCCCAGAUGGGAUUAGCUAGUAGGUGGGGUAACGGCUCACCUAGGCGACGAUCCCUAGCUGGUCUGAGAGGAUGACCAGCCACACUGGAACUGAGACACGGUCCAGACUCCUACGGGAGGCAGCAGUGGGGAAUAUUGCACAAUGGGCGCAAGCCUGAUGCAGCCAUGCCGCGUGUGUGAAGAAGGCCUUCGGGUUGUAAAGCACUUUCAGCGGGGAGGAAGGCGGUGAGGUUAAUAACCUCAUCGAUUGACGUUACCCGCAGAAGAAGCACCGGCUAACUCCGUGCCAGCAGCCGCGGUAAUACGGAGGGUGCAAGCGUUAAUCGGAAUUACUGGGCGUAAAGCGCACGCAGGCGGUCUGUCAAGUCGGAUGUGAAAUCCCCGGGCUCAACCUGGGAACUGCAUUCGAAACUGGCAGGCUAGAGUCUUGUAGAGGGGGGUAGAAUUCCAGGUGUAGCGGUGAAAUGCGUAGAGAUCUGGAGGAAUACCGGUGGCGAAGGCGGCCCCCUGGACAAAGACUGACGCUCAGGUGCGAAAGCGUGGGGAGCAAACAGGAUUAGAUACCCUGGUAGUCCACGCUGUAAACGAUGUCGAUUUGGAGGUUGUGCCCUUGAGGCGUGGCUUCCGGAGCUAACGCGUUAAAUCGACCGCCUGGGGAGUACGGCCGCAAGGUUAAAACUCAAAUGAAUUGACGGGGGCCCGCACAAGCGGUGGAGCAUGUGGUUUAAUUCGAUGCAACGCGAAGAACCUUACCUGGUCUUGACAUCCACAGAACUUUCCAGAGAUGGAUUGGUGCCUUCGGGAACUGUGAGACAGGUGCUGCAUGGCUGUCGUCAGCUCGUGUUGUGAAAUGUUGGGUUAAGUCCCGCAACGAGCGCAACCCUUAUCCUUUGUUGCCAGCGGUCCGGCCGGGAACUCAAAGGAGACUGCCAGUGAUAAACUGGAGGAAGGUGGGGAUGACGUCAAGUCAUCAUGGCCCUUACGACCAGGGCUACACACGUGCUACAAUGGCAUAUACAAAGAGAAGCGACCUCGCGAGAGCAAGCGGACCUCAUAAAGUAUGUCGUAGUCCGGAUUGGAGUCUGCAACUCGACUCCAUGAAGUCGGAAUCGCUAGUAAUCGUAGAUCAGAAUGCUACGGUGAAUACGUUCCCGGGCCUUGUACACACCGCCCGUCACACCAUGGGAGUGGGUUGCAAAAGAAGUAGGUAGCUUAACCUUCGGGAGGGCGCUUACCACUUUGUGAUUCAUGACUGGGGUGAAGUCGUAACAAGGUAACCGUAGGGGAACCUGCGGUUGGAUCACCUCCUUACCUUAAAGAA
rnacentral:rRNA from 1 species